rnacentral:rRNA from 1 species
UCCCGGGUCUUGUACACACCGCCCGUCACACCACGGGAGUUGGAGACGCCCGAAGCCGAUUAUCUAACCUUUUGGAAGAAGUCGUCGAAGGUGGAAUCAAUAACUGGGGUGAAGUCGUAACAAGGUAGCCGUAUCGGAAGGUGCGGCUGGAUCACCUCCUUUCUAAGGAGA